AUGAUUAAAGGAGAAGAUUGUUCUUUUACCAAACAUAUGCAGAUCAAAUCCCGUCUUAUAAUAAGAAGAAAUCUUUCUCGGUAUCAAUCCCCUUGCCCCUCAUUCUUUGAGAAUCAGAAGGAUCCUUUUCGAGUUUCCAUUUCUUCAUCUGGAAUCUGGGCUCUUCUAUCUUCGACUUAUUUUUUUUUGGCUUUAUUCUUUAUUUAUUUCAUUUCGAUUUUCCCUCUUCCUCUAUCCCUAUCCUCUAGGUACAGCGUUUGCAUCAAUAGAGAACCUUUUCCUCUAUAUGAAUCUAUAUUAUUCCAUUCCAAUUUCUUCCCGAAACUUCCCAAGAAAAAUCCCGAAUUGGAUCCAAAAUUGACGGGUUAA
rnacentral:rRNA from 1 species